UGCGAGUUUUCUCAACUCUCAUGCCUCGGUCAAGGUGAAACGAGAGCAAGAGUUGCAUGAGAGUUGAGAGGAUAUUACACGUGCGAUAGCGAAAACUCUCAUCAGCUUCAUUAAAAUUUGAACCUGUUCAAAGUCCUUGAAAGCACAAAGUUGAUGAGUGUCAAACGCCAGCCACUCUCAUCGACUCACUUCAUUUGAUCGGGGUAACGGCUGUUCUUGGAGGAUGUGUUUCAAUUCUCUCCUUAUACCUUGUAUAUAUAUGUUCCCAG